CCUACGGGUGGCAGCAGUAGGGAAUAUUGCUCAAUGGGGGAAACCCUGAAGCAGCAACGCCGCGUGGAGGAUGAAGGUUUUCGGAUUGUAAACUCCUUUUGUUAGAGAAGAUAAUGACGGUAUCUAACGAAUAAGCACCGGCCAACUCCGUGCCAGCAGCCGCGGUAAGACGGAGGGUGCAAGCGUUACUCGGAAUCACUGGGCGUAAAGGGCGCGUAGGCGGGAUAGCAAGUCAGAUGUGAAAUGCUAUGGCUUAACCAUAGAACUGCAUUUGAAACUGUUAUUCUAGAGUAGGGGAGAGGUAGGUGGAAUUCUUGGUGUAGGGGUGAAAUCCGUAGAGAUCAAGAAGAAUACUGAUUGCGAAGGCGACCUGCUAGAACAUAACUGACGCUGAUGCGCGAAAGCGUGGGUAGCGAACAGGAUUAGAUACCCUUGUAGUC
rnacentral:rRNA from 1 species